GGACCACGUGGUCCCGAAUUGGCCAAUGACCAGGCCGCCCGGGAUGAGCUAAUAAUGGAAGCAAUUUGUAACUUUCAGUAGCUCUCUAGGCCUGGGUGCGAGAGGGAGGGAGGCAGGCGGAGGUGGGGAGGUGGGUACCCCCAGUUCUUCCACCCUUCUCAUAUGUGUAGGGCAUCGGAUUGCCUAUUUCUCCUUUCCCCUACACGCAGGCACCCGAAGGAUCCCGCACCCACUUCUUUACUGCUGCCACCGCUCCAAACCAAGAGAGUCUUCCAGCUGGACACUCCAUUUUCCCAGCGGCCCUUGCUGCCAGGUGCGGCCAGAGGGGAAUGUGAGCUGAGUGAUGUCAUCAGAGCCUUAAGGCAUAAGUUCUGCUUUUGAUGAGAUGGACCAGAUGGGACCUAUGACUGAACUUCAGCCAUGCAGUUGAGGAGAAAUCCCAAAGAGAUGGCAAAACAACAAUAUGGAAGGACCCGGGGUUCCUGACUGAGCAAGUGGAGCAGAGUCUCCUGCUGUCUGGGACUGCUCCCUGUCAGACCGUUAGAUGAGAAAUAAACUUGUGUUUUACCAA